GUGGGGAAUAUUGCACAAUGGGGGAAACCCUGAUGCAGCGACGCCGCGUGAGUGAAGAAGUAUUUCGGUAUGUAAAGCUCUAUCAGCAGGGAAGAUAAUGACGGUACCUGACUAAGAAGCCCCGGCUAACUACGUGCCAGCAGCCGCGGUAAUACGUAGGGGGCAAGCGUUAUCCGGAUUUACUGGGUGUAAAGGGAGCGUAGGUGGCGUGGCAAGUCAGAAGUGAAAGCCCGGGGCUCAACCCCGGGACUGCUUUUGAAACUGUCAUGCUGGAGUGCAGGAGAGGUAAGUGGAAUUCCUAGUGUAGCGGUGAAAUGCGUAGAUAUUAGGAGGAACACCAGUGGCGAAGGCGGCUUACUGGACUGUAACUGACACUGAGGCUCGAAAGCGUGGGGAGCAAACAGGAUUAGAAACCCGAGUAGUCC
rnacentral:rRNA from 1 species